CAACUAAGAGGAUUCCUUUUAUAAUGCCCCAUCAAGAUGUAUCCCUUGGACGAAUUCGGUCAGCCAGGAACAGCUGACUUGAUUUCUUCAUCCAAAUUAGCCAUAUUGUAAAAUUAAACCCUAGAACCUAAAGCCGCUUAAUCAGCUUCGAAAUGAAAUGCCAUCAUAUAUGUAUACGUCUGCCCCCAAUGUCAUCUUCUCAUCCUCAUCCACAUGCUCGUCAUCAUCAUAGUCAUCAUCGUCAUCAUCAUGCCUCAAAUGCAGCAAUUUUAAUGAAACAGAGAGAAUAUGUUAAUUGCGUGUGAAACCGCUGCGUCGAGUUGCCACUUGCCAUACAUAUACAGUACAGAGCAAGGCAAAACAGAAGCAACAUGAAUGGGAGUUUCUAUGGAAUUGGCUUGCUUCUGAUGGCUUAUCAUAAACAAAAUCGCCUUGACCCAAUGCAACAUGUGUGUACGGUGAUUUGCUUCUUUUUCAUUUCUCAAAAGCCUUU